UACGAAGGGGGCUAGCGUUGCUCGGAAUCACUGGGCGUAAAGCGCACGUAGGCGGACUCUUAAGUCGGUGGUGAAAUCCUGGAGCUCAACUCCAGAACUGCCUUCGAUACUGAGAGUCUCGAGUCCGAGAGAGGUGAGUGGAACUGCGAGUGUAGAGGUGAAAUUCGUAGAUAUUCGCAAGAACACCAGUGGCGAAGGCGGCUCACUGGCUCGGUACUGACGCUGAGGUGCGAAAGCGCGGGGAGCAAACAGG
rnacentral:rRNA from 1 species